rnacentral:rRNA from 1 species
AAUGUGCUUCAGGUGGGGCUGUGCUCUGCAUUUAUCUCGCACACCUGCUGUUGCAAUAGCAAUAAAUGUGAUGACAUGGAAGGAGAUCCGAAGGAUCAGGAGAGUAUUCAUUCGCGCAAGGUAAAGCAGUCUGUGUGAGUGAAAAUAUUCAUUCUGUGGAUAUCUCAACAUCAAAUGUGAAACCUGAACUUAGAUAUUGGCCAAGUUGGUGUUAGAGUCCCUGGCUCAAAGUCCUUUGUAAGUCAGAGAUACGCAUAAUUUAUCCCGAUCGAAUCGUACAUUUUCGUAUAGAUUUUCAGUUGUGUGUGCUUUCAUUUCUUGUUUUCCCUAUAACGUCUUCCCUUCUUCUUCAAUUAUAUCCUUCAGAAUUGUCACAACAUCGGGUCUAAGCAUUAAUGCCUCGGUCGGUAAAACCAAUACCAAAAGAACGAAGAAGAGUAGUAGAUUGGUUGCCGAAUCUCGAGAUUUUCCAGCUGUAUUUCUAUCUAUGCUGUUCGUCCUCAGCAUUUGAUCUUUUUCGAUGUUUUCCUUACUUCCUGUCCCGUUUUAGAGCGUUCUCAAAGGAUACGUGUGCCUCAUCUCCAAGGGGGGUAGCUUUGCGCACGCGGACACACUGCGACAGUUCCCGAUCCACAAGGUAAGUAGGUAUCAUCCAAAAGAAGAGAAACGAUGAACAAAGAGACUACUACUCCUCUUCCGAUGUCAUCAUCAAUGAAAAGAGCACAAAGAUGGGAAAGAGCAUACAAUCUUAAUUAGGGGGUAUGCGAUUCCAUACAGAUGUGAUAAUAUGCAUUUUCGCGCUUUGCUCUUAACCCCCCCCCCCCCCCCCCCGUUCUCUCAGCCUCGAUGUAUCGGUUUAUCACUCCAAGAGAAUGAGACGGCAGAAGGAAGAGGUGGGAAAGGCACAUUGUCUCUCUCAUCAGGAUCAAGAGGCAAGAAGUUGUUUAAGGACACUCUCGUCAGAACGUAAUUGUUGGUAGUAUCGUGCUAUUGCUAUGUAUCGUAACACAGAGAGAAUGUGUGUGCGCACAAGCACGAGAGAGAAAAAAUAGUCAUACUUCGUUUUAAAUUAUAUUUUUGCGACACACACACACACACACACACACACACACACACAUACAGAGAGAGAGAGAGAGAGAGAGAGAGAGAGAAAGGAGAGGUGUAAUAAUUAUGUAUUUUUGUCUUCGUGAAAAAGAGAUGAGCUUUGGCAAGCAGUUCUGGUAGCUUGCAAGAGAAGUGGCGUGAAUCUUCUUCUAACAACAAGGGUAUUGCUGUUACAUGCCCCUGCAUCCUCCUCUUCUCUUCUUAUUCCCCUCCUCCCUCCCUCUCUCUCUCUCUCUCUCUCUCUCUCUCUCUCAUAGUAUAUCUUUCCUGUUCUCUCUCCCUCUCUGAUAAGUUUAUUGAAGGUGUCUUGUCUCGCACGCAGUAGGCCCUAGUUGCAGCAUCUUCGUUGUAAUAGUAUGCGUGUUUAAUUGCUUGU